UACGAAGGGGGCUAGCGUUGCUCGGAAUUACUGGGCGUAAAGCGCACGUAGGCGGCUCUGUAAGUCGGGGGUGAAAUCCUGGAGCUCAACUCCAGAACUGCCUUCGAUACUGGAGAGCUCGAGUCCGGGAGAGGUGAGUGGAACUGCGAGUGUAGAGGUGAAAUUCGUAGAUAUUCGCAAGAACACCAGUGGCGAAGGCGGCUCACUGGCCCGGUACUGACGCUGAGGUGCGAAAGCGUGGGGAGCAAACAGG
rnacentral:rRNA from 1 species